AGGUUAUUGGCAAAGUGCCAGCGGCGGAGAGAACAGGCAGAUCGUAAAGACGCCAUCAAUCCCUCCCUGGAGGCUCGAACCGCGCCCUCCCUGGCGCGGACGCUUU
rnacentral:ncRNA from 1 species